CGUCAUAAGCGUGCACUAUAUAAGGAAGCCGAGUCUAACCUAACAAUUCAUACCUUUCUCGGCCUUUUGGCUAAGAUCAAGUGUAGUAUCUGUUCUUAUCAGUUUAAUAUCUGAUAUGUGGUCUAUAGGAUCACACGAUAUUAACUUUAUUUUUUAAGGGUAAAGGUCCAUUGAGAUAGCUUGCUAUCUGGAUGGAUCUUUGUGAGUCGCUCAUGCGUGGCACUGCUGCAUGGGCCUGGCUCAGCCCGCCAUCUCAUAAGUUUAAUUUUUUCAUAUAGUCUAAUUCGAAUAAUACGACUUCGUUUCAGGUCAAAACGGAACUUUUUUUUUUUUUUGAGUAACAAAAUAGAGCUUUCUUACUAUAAGUUAAUCAUUGUCUGGAAAUAAAAGGUAGAAUAAUCCGACAUCGUUAUAGAUUAAAACAGAACUGUCUAUAAGCUAAUCAGUGACAAGGUGCAUCACUCAGACGCGACCGUCGAUGGUUUGCUUUGAUCUCGUCAUCCUUGCUCGUGAUUCUCGGCUCAACCUUUAUCUUAAUUAGCUUAAGGGAAUGGGAGUUCUCUGUAUCUUCCUAUUGUAAUUGUAUUGAGAGAAGACAAGCAUAUGGAUGGAGUAGUUUCGAGAUCAUGCAUAGGUUGAUGAAGAUGGUGGGUUUAGGGUUUAGCUUUCGCCCUUAGUAACCGGAGAGUUUAUACAAAGGAAUGGAUAAAAAGCAUUGAGGCAAUCUACUAUAUUUCUGUCUGUGAAAGAUCUUUAUGGAAAUUCACUCUGUGAAUGAUGAUUUUAGGAGUGACUGCCUAAUCUUGAAGUUUGAUUACUGUGUAGUGUUUUUCCAUUCAUGUUGGUGAUCACCACCUGGUGAAACCACAAACACCAUAGCUGUAAUGAGACGGUGGUCAUAUGAGGAGCCAAGACAAGAUUCAGGCUGGGAGAACCAUAAGGUCGAAAAAGGUUACUCGAGGUGUUGAUUGGAGAGCAUGAAAUAACAGUAGCGGUUAGUCCUAGUGGCUUAGUGGCAUGGCGCAUGCCCUAGUGAAUGUUGUGAUCCUGUGCGUUCUACUUUCUUUAUUGGCUGCCAAGACAGUAGUAUGCAGAACAGCUUCACUAGCAAACUCCAAGAUAUGGAAAGAUCAUUUGGAUUUUCCUUGGCCUUACCCAUUCGCUUAUUCAUAUGUAAUCAGCUUCUCUGGUUUCUUUCUCUCGGACUAAUAUGUUUAUAUAGAUUUGUUUUGUUUCUUUUGUCAGUCAUAUUUGUUACUGUAAUUAUAACCAUGAAACUUCAAAUGUUUAUGGUUCAUUGAUAUGCAUCAUGACUCACUUCCAAUUUUGAUUUACAGGUGUGCAGAUCAGUUUGUGUACAAUUGGUUCUUUCUUCAAAGUCUAAUUCACACUGCAAGUACUUCUGGAGAAAAACUCGUAGUCUUUUUUUUUUUCAAUCAAAACAAGGUCUUUUUUAAUUAAUGAUCUGGCCAUAUGUAGUUUUCUAUUUUCAAGAUAUAGAAGCUAUGAUUAACCAAAAAGGGGUAUAUAAACUACAAUCAUAAUUGUAAUUAUGUUAGUUUUUGAAGUU